ACCCUCAUGGUCUAGUGGUUAUGAUUUCCGCCUUCCAAUAUUUUAAUGUACUUCAUUGGUAACAAAGUGAGCGGGAGACACGAGUUCGAUUCUCGUUGAGGGUA